rnacentral:rRNA from 1 species
AUUGAACGCUGGCGGCAGGCCUAACACAUGCAAGUCGAGCGGAUGAAGGGAGCUUGCUCCUGGAUUCAGCGGCGGACGGGUGAGUAAUGCCUAGGAAUCUGCCUGGUAGUGGGGGAUAACGUCCGGAAACGGGCGCUAAUACCGCAUACGUCCUGAGGGUGAAAGUGGGGGAUCUUUGGACCUCACGCUAUCAGAUGAGCCUAGGUCGGAUUAGCUAGUUGGUGGGGUAAGUGCCUACCAAGGCGACGAUCCGUAACUGGUCUGAGAGGAUGAUCUGUCACACUGGAACUGAGACACGGUCCAGACUCCUACGGGAGGCAGCAGUGGGGAAUAUUGGGCAAUGGGCGAAAGCCUGAUCCAGCCAGGCCGCGUGUGUGAAGAAGGUCUUCGGAUUGUAAAGCACUUUAAGUUGGGAGGAAGGGCAGUAAGCUAAUACCUGGCUGUUUUGACGUUACCAACAGAAUAAGCACCGGCUAACUACGUG